rnacentral:sRNA from 2 species
CGAGUUGGUGGCUAGGGUUCCGGCAUCCCGCGGGAUGUGCUGGUCCGAGAGCUGCCACUGCUCCGGGAGACAUCCGGGGCGGGUGCACGGCGGGAUAAAAGCCCGGGAGAC